CAGAAAGACCUGCAGCAACAUGACUGAGCGUCACCCAUACAAAUAGAAACAACUUGGAGCCUUUAUCACCACGAGGCUUCUAUCAACUCCUUGUUAGCUCAGUCUUUCGUGCAGGCGCUCAAAACUUUCUUCAGAUUUAACUUCAUGUUUUAAAUGGACGAGAAAAGGACUGCACAAUAAAAAAGUUUAAAAGACUUGGUCCUGAUGCAGGAGGCUGCUGAUAAACUUUGUGUCACCUGUUGUGGGAUUUCUGCUCACUCGACCAUGUGAGCACUGUUUGAUGUCAA